CUACGGAGAGUUUGAUCCUGGCUCAGGACGAACGUUGGCGGCGUGCUUAAUACAUGCAAGUCAACUGAAGCACCGGUAGUAAUACUGGUGUGGAGGUGGCGCACGGGUGAGUAACACGUAGGUAAUCUGCCUUCAGGUCUGACAUAACCCCGAGAAAUCGGGGCUAAUAGCAGAUGAUGCAGCGGCUUGACAUCAAGACAGUUGUUAAAGCUUCGGCGCCUGAAGAUGAGC
rnacentral:rRNA from 1 species